UACAGAGGGGGCAAGCGUUAUUCGGAAUUAUUGGGCGUAAAGGGCGCGUAGGCGGCUUUGCAAGUGACGGGUGAAAUCCCUCGGCUUAACCGAGGAACUGCCUGUCAGACUGCAUUGCUUGAGUCCGGGAAAGGUGAGUGGAAUUCCCAGUGUAGCGGUGAAAUGCGUAGAUAUUGGGAGGAACACCAGUGGCGAAGGCGGCUCACUGGACCGGAACUGACGCUGAGGGACGAAAGCUAGGGGAGCGAAUAGG
rnacentral:rRNA from 1 species